GAUAAUAAACUGAUCUUCCCCAAGAACUCACAUCGACGGGAAGGUUUGGCACCUCGAUGUCAGCUCUUUGUCACUUGGGGAUGUAGUAUGUUCCAAGGGUUGGAUUGUUCGCCUAUUAAAAUGGUACGUGAGCUAGGUUCAGAACAUCAUGAAACAGUUU
rnacentral:ncRNA from 1 species